UCUUCCCCAAUUUCUUCAGCAGCAAAACCAGAGAUGAAGAAUUGAGGGGUUUGAUGGUGAGAUCGAGAGAGUAACUCAAGAGGAGAUGAAGGAUUUGAUUUGCUGUAAAUCUGGUGAAAUGAUUCAAUGAAUUAGGGUUUUGUUGAUGGAGGUUGUGAAUCAAACAAGGAAGAUAUUUGAAGAUAUUACGAUCAUGGGUUUGGUUGAAAUUGUGGUGGUGACUGAGCAAUUACAGAGAAGAAUCUGAGAAUGAAGAAGGCAGUACUGGUGGUGCUGCCAAAGAUGAAAUCAGUAGAGAGGUUUGAUCUCAAGGUUGGGAAGAAUAGUCUUAUGGCACUGAAUGUUGAACUGGUGGUGAUGGCUGGAGAGAAUGAUUCUAGUGUUAAUGUUCAUGGUAUUUCUGGUGAUGAAAGAAUGGGUUAAGCCUAAAUUUGGUGUUGUGGUUCUGUUGUGAUGGAGUUGUGUAUGUGUGCAAGGAGGGUUGCUUGUUCUGGCGGUAUUGAGAAUGGUCGAAUUGACGAGCUGAUUGAUUUGGAGUGCUGAUAAUGAUGGUUGUGGUUACUCUGUGAAGCAGAAUGGACAAGAUGAUGGAAAACAGAAGCUGCAGCAAGAAGGAGAACAUGGUAUUUGGGAAGAAAUGAAAAUUUAUACACAUAAAUGUUGGUAGUGUUGGUUGUGACCGAAUUGGUGGUACCAGGCUUGGAGGUUGCAGGUUAUGUUAGGAAAGGUGUUGCAGCUGCAGUUAAGUCUGAGAUGAUUGCAAGCAAUGGAGCUGCAAUUGGUUUGCAGUGGAGCAAGAAGCUGCAGAAUUGAAGUAUUACAGGUGAAUGAAGCUGAUAACUGUUGUUGUUGCGUGUGGUUCUUAUGCUUAGAAGUGAAUGAGUUUGAAGGCAGAGCUUGUGCAGCAGGAAAUGGAGUUCGAUUUGAUGUGAACCUAAGCAAGAAGUGGACUGGAAAGUGAGCCUGUUGCAUAUUGGUACUAGUGACAAUGGAGGAGAAAGCGGGUGUCAGCAGUUGAUUUUUGCUGUGGAAUGAUGGCUAUAGUUGAGUUUCGAAUGAUGAGAAAUGUUGGGUUAGAGUCGGAAUCGAGAUUCGAGGGACUGAAAUGAGAUGCAGGUGAUGGUGCUAAGAUGGAGAAUGGAGAAAACUGAAAUGGGUAUUGAACUGCAGAAGUCAUGGAUGCAGAUGGAGCUUGUGGUUGUUUUGGUGCUCAAAUGGUUUGUGCUGAGUUGUUUGCAGUCAAGAUAAGCUGCAAAUGAAUGGCUUGAGGAAAGGGAGUGAAACUGAGGUUGUUUCAGUUAAAUGUAAUAGCUUGGAAGUGCUUGUACUGGAGUUUGGUUGCAGAUGCAGUUGUUGGAUCUGGCGGAAGUGAUGAGUAUAUGGGUACAUGACUAUUUAAGUAUUUGGCAGUGCUGAAAACCGAAGCAGUUGCAGGUGUGUGUGUGUGUUGGUAAUGAAUGCAUGGAAUGGACAUGGCUUUGACAGCGAAUUGUUUGAGGCCUUGUUGCUGUUGAGAACGGCAGCUGAGUUGCAAGUGCUGGUUGCAAUGCAACUGGUGCUGGUGGUUUGUGUUGCAGAAAUGGAGAUAUAACAGAGAGGCAAGGAAACUGUGGCUGCAAUUGAAGAUAAGGCAAGGAAAUGAUGCAGAGAUUGAUAUUGUACGAGUUGCAGGCCUGGGUUUGUCUAAGUGAAUGAAUGGGUAUGGUAUGAAUGUUGUGUAUGAAAUAUAGCAGGGAAGAAUAGCCUGAAAUGGUCGUGAAUUACCCAGAAAUAGACAGAGCUCUGCCUGAAUCGGAGUCAGGCGAGUUAACCCGACGAUUCAGGUGAGCUGACUCAAAUGGACUUGUUUUAACUGCGCUUCACUUGUGGGCUCUACUUCACGGCCAGACUUGGGUAAGCUGUGGCAUUGGAUUGGCAGGAGAUUGUGUGCACGGGAUUUCGACUACUUGGACACCUAUAAAAGAGAAAAGUACCUAUUAUUGAAGGAGCAUACUAGAACAAUGGAUACGGUUUUCAACCUCCUCAACACUAUGACGAUUUCCCACCAUCUAUGGAAUACGAUCAGAACCAAUUUAUUGGCUAUGAUCAAUAUCCAAGAGCUUAUGGUGAUUUUCAUACAUACCAACAACAACCUUGUAGUGGUAUGUAAGUUAAGCACCUAGGUGGGACAAUUCUACUUCCAAUUUGCUUUAUCCGAGAUGAAUGAAUGCUAUAAAAGGACUGAACAUCGCACAAACCAAUUUCUGCAACACUUUUUCUUACCCGACUCAGGAUCAUAGUUAUGAUCAAUCACCCAUUCAAAGGGAAGAGUCAUGGGAAAGAGAACCUAUUGUAGCCAAUGGUGGUAAGCGUGUGAACUUUAGAAACCUUGCACAGAAACUAUACAAGUUGGAAUACGAUGGAGCCUCGGAAGAGCUUGUCUAUGAAAUUAGUAGGACCAUUCGUAUGGAGCUUAAACGGCGUUGUGAUAAAGGAUGGGAAACCGAUGAAGAUUCUUAUUACGAACUUCCUUACGACAAGGUUUGAGCCUAAUGAUGACGAGUAUGUUGAGAAUGUGACCGAAUUAAGUAAUGUUGUGGAAGACCCAAUCGAGCUUGCACAUGAUUGUAAUCAUGAUGUUUAUGUCGAGACUUUGGUUGAGGCAUAGACGGACGAAGAAUGCUUGCAAGUUUUGAUAGAGGACCACGAUGUGCAAGAGGUAAUUAAUUCACUUGAAUUCUUUAAGGAUGAAGAGGAUACCAUAACACGAGAGUUGCAAGGCUUGUCUAAACCUUUACCUAUUAAUCCUUCUCCUUUACCUCUAUUGGCUUGAAUGCAUGUGCUUCGACAAUAUUGUUGAAUGACUUUAUUUCUCGAUAUCCGCCAUUAGAAACAUUUGAUUCUCAUACUAUGCAAGUUUGCAAAGAAGAAACCAUAGAAGUUCAUGAAUUUUAUGUUCUUUAUACACUUCCAAGUGUGGACAAGAAUAAGUGUGGGGCAAACUUCUAUUGGGAUAUAGCUUCCCUUUUGCUUUAUUAUACUAAUGUU